rnacentral:tRNA from 1 species
GCCGGGCUGGCUCAGUCGGUGGAGUGUGUGACUCUUGAUCUCAGGUGUGGGUUCGAGCCCCACGUUGGGUG